rnacentral:rRNA from 1 species
CAGCAGUGAGGAAUAUUGGUCAAUGGGCGCAAGCCUGAACCAGCCAAGUCGCGUGAGGGAAGACGGCCCUACGGGUUGUAAACCUCUUUUGCCGGGGAGCAAGCCUGAGCACGUGUGCCCAGGCGGAGAGUACCCGGAGAAAAAGCAUCGGCUAACUCCGUGCCAGCAGCCGCGGUAAUACGGAGGAUGCGAGCGUUAUCCGGAUUUAUUGGGUUUAAAGGGUGCGCAGGCGGGCUGUUAAGCCGGCGGUAAAAAUUCAGGGCUCAACCCUGUCGAGCCGUCGGAACUGGCAGUCUUGAGUGGGCGAGAAGUAUGCGGAAUGCGUGGUGUAGCGGUGAAAUGCAUAGAUAUCACGCAGAACGCCGAUUGCGAAGGCAGCAUACCGGCGCCCGACUGACGCUGAGGCACGAAAGCGUGGGGAUCGAACAGGAUUAGA